AUCUUUAUUGAAACAAUCCUGGUAAGUUUGUGCACGGAAAAAGAAGCUUGACAAUUAAGUGAGUGGACCCGUCACACCUCCAUUAUGUUUCUGAGGCCAAUAACAAUAGUAACUUUCAGCUAUUUGAUUCAAAGCCUCGUAGCGAACAACUGUACCCUUCGCAUGGAUUCGAUUCAAGUGGAAGCGAAUUUUACCAUAGAGAGGUAUUUAGGUCAGUAGUAUGAAUUUGAGUGGAUGUAUGAGGGGUAUUUAGAUCCAGCUUCAGUAUUCCAGGACUUCGCACACGUAUACAGGAGACAACAGGACGGUAAUAUUACCGACACAACACGUGGAAGGUAAACAUAACGGUAAUAUAACCGACACAACACGUAUAAGGUAAACAUAACGGUAAUAUAACCGACACAACACGUGGAAGGUAAACAUAACGGUAAUAUAACCGACACAACACGUGGAAGGUAAACAUAACGGUAAUAUAACCGACACAUUUUGUUAAUAUUUUCCAUGAAGUAAUAUGAUAUGAACGUUUUUGCCGUCUUGAAUUAUAAAUAAACUUAUGCUAUUUGUUUGACAAAUAUAAAUGAGAAAAAUUUUGUUCUGAUACAUAGAUGUAUGCAACAAGUUCUACCCCUUUAUGCUAAAAACAAUUUCGCCGCUAUAAUUCAUGACUCCGUUAAACUUUUAGAAUACGCAGUGUUUGGGCCGUUUCCGAAGUUGUUCAUUUUAGAAUUGUCUGAAAUGGGAAAGAUAUUCGCAUAAUUGUUUUCCCAUUUUGUCUUCUAUGCCCAGUGAUAAACGUUUAUCCACCCUCUGAAUACACAUUACUGCGCCACUGUAUGCCAUUGUUCAGCAAAGUUCAUGAUAAUACCAUAUUGACUGCAGCGAUGAAAUUACUAGUGGUUCCUUGACGUCUUUAAUGCAAGAGGAAUUGUUUUAAUUUUAUAUAAACCUCUAUUGUGUGUGGAGGUUUCCCAUACAGAUUGGUAAAAUACUUGGAAAUCUAAGUGAAAAAAUAUAAUGUUGGUCAAUGUUGAUCAUUCUGAAUUUUUGAGAGAGAGAGAGAGAGAGAGAGAGAGAGAGAGAGAGAGAGAGAGAGAUUUACCAAAGAAAAACAAAUAAAAAUCGAACUGCUCUUUGUCAGAGAUCCAGCUAAAAGCCACGGGUGUCUCCAGUUUUCUUCCACCAUCUACCUUACAGACACACCGGGAAAGAUGUUGUUUAAUCAUUUAAAUCAAGGCAACAUAGGGAAUUACUGGGUAGUAGAGUCAGACUAUACCAACUACUCAGUGGUGUAUAAUUGCAUUCAACUGAAUCCUGACGACACAUGUAAGACGAAUCAAGCAUGGGUGUACAGUCGCCAUCCCAAUCUGUCAGACGAUUUGAGGGCGAGAGUUAGUCACGUGAUAGAAAAUCUGUGUUUGAAUGAAACAUCGUUUUAUAAAACCACUCACAAAAAUGAUUGUUCUGCCGCGCCCAAUUUGGAUUCCGUUGUUGGCUGAUUUCAAAAUUGCUGUACAUGAAUCAUGUUUUAAAAUAAAUGAUUUUUCAGGCAAUAUUU
rnacentral:misc_RNA from 1 species